AGAGUUUGAUCAUGGCUCAGAUUGAACGCUGGCGGCAUGCCUUACACAUGCAAGUCGAACGGCAGCACAGGGAGCUUGCUCCUGGGUGGCGAGUGGCGAACGGGUGAGUAAUGUAUCGGAACGUGCCCAGUAGUGGGGGAUAACUACUCGAAAGAGUGGCUAAUACCGCAUGAGAUCUCUGGAUGAAAGUGGGGGACCGCAAGGCCUCACGCUACUGGAGCGGCCGAUAUCAGAUUAGGUUGUUGGUGGGGUAAAGGCCUACCAAGCCUGCGAUCUGUAGCUGGUCUGAGAGGACGACCAGCCACACUGGGACUGAGACACGGCCCAGACUCCUACGGGAGGCAGCAGUGGGGAAUUUUGGACAAUGGGCGCAAGCCUGAUCCAGCAAUGCCGCGUGCAGGAUGAAGGCCUUCGGGUUGUAAACUGCUUUUGUACGGAACGAAAAGGCUCUGGUUAAUACCUGGGGUCCAUGACGGUACCGUAAGAAUAAGCACCGGCUAACUACGUGCCAGCAGCCGCGGUAAUAC
rnacentral:rRNA from 1 species